GGUAGGGAAAAAUUAAUGUGAGGGUGGGAAGUAAACUGUAAUUACCUGAAAUAAAAUGUAAGAGUGCAAUAAGUGUGCUUUUUAUUCUAAGCUGUGAAUGGGUUUUUUUAAAAAAGCAUUCCUUCCCAAUGCAUUUGCCUAUGUUCCAUAGCUGAUUAAAACCAGCUAUAUAAACGUAUGCCUUUUUAUUCACGUUAAUUACCAACAUAAAUGGCUAACCUUUACGUCUUAUUUAUCUUCAUGUUUAUGUUAGUUUACAUAUAGGGAUGUGUGUGUGUGUAUGCCAUAAAUUUUCCCUCCUUCAUUUAAAAAUGCAUUUGUUGGGUCCUCUGUUUCCUUAGGCCAUGUCACAGGUCAUAGUCUCAGCUUGGCCUUUCUGUCACCUGAUUUGAAGGACUAUCACAGUGACAUAGCUCGUUCACUGGUUGUACACACUAACCCUUUUCCUUGCUCAGCAAUUACUGUUUCUUCUAAAACGGGUGUACAACCAUGAGAUUGAAAUUAACUGUUUGACAUAUGUCCCUUUGAAUUCUAUUUAUUAGUUACGAUUGCUCUUUGGUUUGGACCAAGAAAAAGGAAAUCUCGCCUCCCCACCUUUUCACUUCUUAGUUUGAGGACAAUUCUAUAAGAGAGAGGAAAGGGAACUCCUUCAUUUCUGCUCAAGCAUUGAAAAAGUUUUCAUGGAGUCUGGAGUGUACCCAGUUUAAAGAGGGUUUUUAAUUGUCCACAGACCUCUCUGUUCCUGCUUUGCAAAAAUUACAGAGGAGUAACUAUUUUUAAAGCUUAUUUUUCAAUUCAUAAAAAAGACAUUUAUUUUCAGUCAAAUGGAUGAUGUCUCCUUGUCCCUUAAUCCUCAGUGUUUGCUUGAAUCUUUUUAUUUUUUAUUUUUUUCCAUUUUUUCCCAUCCCCACUUCUUGAUACUUCUUGAGUUCUCUUUCCUGCUCAGGUCCUUUCAUUUGUACUUUGGAGUUUUUUCUCAUGUAAAUUUGUACAAUGGAAAAUAUUGUUCAGUUUGGAUAGAACGCAUGGAGAAUUAAAUAAAAAAGAUAGCUGAAAUUCAGAUGGAAAUUUAUUUGUGUAAAAUUAUUUAAAAACUCUGUACUAUAUAAAAGGCAAAAAAAGUUCUAUGUACUUGAUGUGAAUAUGCGAAUACUGC
ensembl:lncRNA